rnacentral:tRNA from 1 species
GCCCGUGUAGCUCAGGGGGAGAGCGUCGCUCUUACAAAGCGAGGGUCGGGAGUUCAAAUCUUUCCGCGGGCA